GAUGAACGCUAGCUACAGGCUUAACACAUGCAAGUCGAGGGGAAACGAUAGUGAAAGCUUGCUUUUUCUAGGCGUCGACCGGCGCACGGGUGAGUAACGCGUAUCCAACCUGCCCAUCACUUGGGGAUAACCUUGCGAAAGUAAGACUAAUACCCAAUGACGUCUCUAGAAGACAUCUGAAAGGGAUUAAAGAUUUAUCGGUGAUGGAUGGGGAUGCGUCUGAUUAGCUUGUUGGCGGGGUAACGGCCCACCAAGGCGACGAUCAGUAGGGGUUCUGAGAGGAAGGUCCCCCACAUUGGAACUGAGACACGGUCCAAACUCCUACGGGAGGCAGCAGUGAGGAAUAUUGGUCAAUGGACGAGAGUCUGAACCAGCCAAGUAGCGUGCAGGAUGACGGCCCUAUGGGUUGUAAACUGCUUUUAUAAGGGAAUAAAGUGGGAGUCGUGACUCUUUUUGCAUGUACCUUAUGAAUAAGGACCGGCUAAUUCCGUGCCAGCAGCCGCAGUAAAAC
rnacentral:rRNA from 1 species